AUGUUUCAGAUUUCCCUUGUCAUGGCCAAGCAAGUCUAUGAAUGCAAUUGGGCUCCCUCUCGAGUAACCGAGGAGCAGUUAAACAACCUUGUUAAAACGGGCGCUUUAGCCAAAAAAGAUGUUAUCCACUUGAGGGUCCCUGGCCCCGAAAAUCCUCCUACACCCAAGGAUGGAGAGGUAGUCGUGUUCGCUGACCAUAUCGGACGAGGUUUUAGCCCUCCCGGUUCAAAAAAAUUCCGAGAUGUACUAGCCAAUUUUCUGCUGCGCCCUCAAGACAUUGGUCCCAACUCUGUUACCAACAUCUGCCACUUCCAAGUAUUCUGUGAGGUUUAUCUGCAAGAGGAACCUACAGUCGAACUGUUUAGGGAUUUCUUUCACUUAAACCGUCGCACCGAGUUCUCAGAUGGACCCAAUACGGAACUGGGCAGAAUGGCGGUUCAGAAGAGGAAAUAG
rnacentral:rRNA from 1 species